AGCAGCCGCGGUAAUUCCAGCUCCAAUAGCGUAUAUUAAAGUUGUUGCAGUUAAAAAGCUCGUAGUUGAAUUUCGGGAUUGGCGCAUCGGUCGUGCCUCACGGGGUAUGAACUGGUGCAGUCAAUUUCUCACCUUCUGGAGAACCGCGAUGUCCUUAAUUGGAUGCCGUGGGGAACCAGGACCUUUACUUUGAAAAAAUUAGAGUGUUUAAAGCAGGCAUUUUUGCUUGAAUACAUUAGCAUGGAAUAAUAAAAUAGGACGGCAUGGUUCUAUUUUGUUGGUUUCUAGGACCACCGUAAUGAUUAAUAGGGAUAGUUGGGGGCAUUAGUAUUCAAUUGUCAGAGGUGAAAUUCUUGGAUUUAUUGAAGACUAACUACUGCGAAAGCAUUUGCCAAGGAUGUUUUCAUUAAUCAAGAACGAAAGUUAGGGGAUCGAAGACGAUCAGAUACCGUCGUAGUCUUAACCAUAAACUAUGCCGACUAGGAAUCAGACGAUGUUAAUUUUUAACGACUCGUUUGGC
rnacentral:misc_RNA from 1 species